rnacentral:rRNA from 1 species
UACGGUGGGAGCAAGCGUUGUUCGGAUUUACUGGGCGUAAAGGGCGCGUAGGCGGCCACCGCAAGUCGAUUGUGAAAUCUCCGGGCUUAACCCGGAAAGGUCAACCGAUACUGCGGGGCUAGAGUGCAGAAGGGGCAACUGGAAUUCUCGGUGUAGCGGUGAAAUGCGUAGAUAUCGAGAGGAACACCUGCGGCGAAGGCGGGUUGCUGGGCUGACACUGACGCUGAAGUGCGAAAGCUAGGGGAGCGAACGGG